rnacentral:rRNA from 1 species
GAUGAACGCUGGCGGCGUGCUUAACACAUGCAAGUCGAACGGUGAAGGCGGAGCUUGCUCUGCUGGAUCAGUGGCGAACGGGUGAGUAACACGUGAGCAAUCUGCCCCUGACUCUGGGAUAAGCGCUGGAAACGGCGUCUAAUACUGGAUACGAGCUGCGAAGGCAUCUUCAGCAGCUGGAAAGAACUUCGGUCAGGGAUGAGCCCGCGGCCUAUCAGCUUGUUGGUGAGGUAACGGCUCACCAAGGCGUCGACGGGUAGCCGGCCUGAGAGGGUGACCGGCCACACUGGGACUGAGACACGGCCCAGACUCCUACGGGAGGCAGCAGUGGGGAAUAUUGCACAAUGGGCGAAAGCCUGAUGCAGCAACGCCGCGUGAGGGACGACGGCCUUCGGGUUGUAAACCUCUUUUAGCAGGGAAGAAGCGAAAGUGACGGUACCUGCAGAAAAAGCGCCGGCUAACUACGUG